UUCUGUUUUACUUAUCUCCUCUCUCUUUCUUCUUUAUUUGCUUUAAUGUCGAAGAGAAGGAGAGGCUCACUGUUGCCAAAUCGUUGGAAGCAUUAGUCCGAUCUUCGGCGGCGGAGGCGAUCUUCAGAGGCGGCAGUGGUACGGGAAGCGGCGGAUGGAUGGUAGAUUCAGUUACGUUGGCAGUAGGAUUCUUUUUUAGGUUUUAUUGUGUGGGUUUGUGGUUUUCAAUUAAUUUCAUGUAAAAUUGAUGGAGAAUGGAAUUUGAGAUUCAAUGACCAAAAAAUGAAUAGGUAUUGGUUUGCAGGUUAGUCUUUUCAUAUUUCUCCAAGUUAAUAUUUUAUCACAUUUGCAUCUUCUUGUUUUUUAAAAUUGGUAAUCAUAAUUACAGUAGGUCAAGUCUCUUUUUCAUGAAAGAGUGAUUUUAUUUUAGUUAUUUUUAUAUGUAAAGAUGUAAGUUUUUUGCCUUGAUUUGUUAAAUUUGUGAUGAAUUAACUUCUCUCGUCUUUAAAUUUUAAAUCUAGUAAAUUUUGUAAAUGAUUGUAAAAGUGAUUAACUACUAAUUGUAUUGUUCAUCGUUUAUGUUGCCUUCGGAGAUGAGGAUAUUAAAGCCAAAGCGGAUUUGAGAGGUUCAUGAGCAGCAUCAGUGCAUCACAAAUUCAUUUAGAGAGUUGUGUCCGCUUGAUUUGGCUAUUGUAACUUCUACUUCUAUUCAAAUGGUUCUUGGUGACACGGUCGUUAUUGCGCUUAUUGAUGCCAGGAAUUUGAGUAAAGAUGAGUAUGCAGCUAAUCACCAUGCUGCUAGAAUUGGUAAAAGCUUGAUUUUAAAAGUACAAAUUCAGUUUGAUGGAUGUAAUUUUCAGUUGCAUUUAAAGGGACUAAUUGCAGUUAAAAUUUCAGUCUAUUCAUAAAGAGGAUAUGCAAGACUUGCCUUUGCAUUAUUCUUAAGCAGCCAAAGAAAACAUUAUGGGUUUGGUAGUUUUAUAAGUAUAUUUUAGUGCAAGAAUUUGGAUUUAUUAGUGCGUGUGUUUUAGGGCAAUUUCAGAUAUUUGUAUAGAAAGAGUAUUGUUGUACCAGAAAUGUUAUUGUUUUAUUUUUUAUUA